AUUGAACGCUGGCGGCAGGCCUAACACAUGCAAGUCGAACGAGUGGCGGACGGGUGAGUAAUGUCUGGAAAACUGCCCGAUGGAGGGGGAUAACUACUGGAAACGGUAGCUAAUACCGCAAACCAUCGGAUGUGACCAGAUGGGAUUGGCUAGUAGGUGGGGUAAUGGGUCACCUAGGCGACGACCCCUAGCGUGUCUGAGAGGAUGACCUGCCACCCGGGAAUUGGGGCACGGGCCCUACUCCUGCGGGGGGCAUGGGUGGGGAGGAUUGCACAAUGAGCGCAAGCCUGAUGCAGCCAUGCGGCGUGUAUGAAGAAGGCCGUCGGGUUGUAAGGUACUUUCAGCGAGGGGGCGUGACUCGGAGAAGAAGCAACGGCUAACUCCGUGCCAGCAGCCGCGGUAAUUC
rnacentral:rRNA from 1 species